rnacentral:lncRNA from 1 species
UAUGUAAAGCAUAGGCACACAUUGAAUGAAUUAAAAAAAAAAAAAAAAAAUAGAGAAACUCAAUUAUUUAAAGCAAUUUGGCCCUUUCUUAGUUGGCCUAAUCAGGUAGAUAUAGUUGAAGAUUAUACACCUUUUUAUUUACCCCGGUGGCCUAGUGAUGCCUUCGCAGUUUUAUGGUGGAAAAGCCGCUUUAUUUUGGACAGAAGUUUCUUUAAAAAAUGUAGUGAACUGAAGUUGAAUUUCCCGCCAUGGCUCAGACCCGACGCCUUUCGUGAUUGGAAUAUGACCUCAAGAUCUUAUUGGUUCCAAAAUCCUAUAACUGCUCUGAUUGGAGCAUCGGACAUACUCGAGAACAACAACACAACCAUAACCUAACCUGUUCAUGCCAUUGCCAUUCAUUGUUUUUCUCGUUUAUUUCAGGGAUUCAUUAGAUUUUUUAGUCUCACAUUGUAAUUUUUUCUCAUAAUUUGCACUACAUCAUUUUCCCAGUAGGUUUUUCUUAAACGAACUCGGUAUGAAAACUUACACUGUCAAGAACUUUUCUUUGAAACAUGGCUGCUUCUUGUGUGUGAUGUUUGAACCCAUGCCUUUGAUUUGAACCCAAUCAAUAGUGUUUUAGUCAAAUCUCAACCCAGUUUUUCGCUGGUUUUAAAUCUUCAAUGGUGGUGUAAGAGCGAUGAGUGAAGAUUCCACAGUUAUUUCCUACGAGCCUUUAGUUGAACUAUCAUUGAAGUAUGAAAAUGACGUAGACUACAUCUAUUGUCUUUGCAGUCGUGUAUUAGUGAGUGAAAAGAAUCUGACUCGCUCUGUACCAGUCAAAAGAGAAUCUGAAUGGGGAGACUUGAAUGGUGGUCAAAAUUUAAGUGGACUUAAACAGAGCCCAAAUACCAACCAGAUUCACCACAAGAAACGAGACGAAGCUUUCAGCUGCUACUAUAGUGCAUCUCACUAUUCUACCGACGACCAAGAUAGCUCUAGCCAAUUUGCACUUGAAAGUGACAGCGGAGCAGACAUAUCCGUAACAAGCAGGGAUCUUGAGUGGGAACGCUAUUGGGCACAAAAUGGUGACCGCAUUGUUUGGGAAAGUUGGAUAACCAAGUACAAUGAUUACAUCGAUCCAACUUACCUAAUAAUCAUGGGAAUCAGCAUCAGGCUCUUGACAAGGAUGCUGUGAAAAACGAAGAAAGUGAUAAUUUUGAUUCUGUGUCCUCUGACAGUGAUGAAGUGGAAGCUGACAAUCUAUCACCAGUUGAAUCCGCUGAUGUGAAUAAAUUAGAAUUGAAUCAUCCAAAGAAAGACGUAUCAACUGAAGGAGAGAAGAGACCUAAAGAAUUGACUUUUGCAGAACCUCCCAUUCUAUCAGUUGGAGACUUUGAUGGACAAAUUUCGUCAGAACCUUUAGAUCAUUCAAAAGAACAGGACGACUUCUUUGAUGAGCAAUUUAGACUAAGAACUGGAAGCCGCAGUUCUGGGAAUAGUGGUCGAC